rnacentral:piRNA from 1 species
UCAUUCUAAGUGUAGACUACCAUGACUGUC